GAUGAACGCUGGCGGCGUGCCUAAUACAUGCAAGUCGAGCGAACGGACGAGAAGCUUGCUUCUCUGAUGUUAGCGGCGGACGGGUGAGUAACACGUGGAUAACCUACCUAUAAGACUGGGAUAACUUCGGGAAACCGUAGCUAAUACCGGAUAAUAUUUUGAACCGCAUGGUUCAAAAGUGAAAGACGGUCUUGCUGUCACUUAUAGAUGGAUCCGCGCUGCAUUAGCUAGUUGGUAAGGUAACGGCUUACCAAGGCAACGAUGCAUAGCCGACCUGAGAGGGGGGACGGCCAACCGGGAACUGGACCCGGGUCCAGCAUCCUGCGGGGGGCAGCGGGAGGGAAUCUUCCGAAAUGGGCGAAAGCCUGACGGGGAAACGCCGCGUGAGUGAUGAAGGUCUUUGGAUCGUAAAACCCUUUUAUUAGGGAAAAACAUAUGUGUAAGUAACUGUGCACAUCUUGGCGGUACCUAAUCAGAAAGCCCCGGCUAACUACGU
rnacentral:rRNA from 1 species